AGUAAAUAGAUACCCGGGUAGUCCACGCCGUAAACGAUGUCGACUUGGAGGUUGUGCCCUUGAGGCGUGGCUUCCGGAGCUAAACGCGUUAAAGUCGACCGCCUGGGGAGUACGGCCGCAAGGUUAAAACUCAAAUGAAUUGACGGGGGCCCGCACAAGCGGUGGAGCAUGUGGUUUAAUUCGAUGCAACGCGAAGAACCUUACCUACUCUUGACAUCCAGAGAACUUAGCAGAGAUGCUUUGGUGCCUUCGGGAACUCUGAGACAGGUGCUGCAUGGCUGUCGUCAGCUCGUGUUGUGAAAUGUUGGGUUAAGUCCCGCAACGAGCGCAACCCUUAUCCUUUGUUGCCAGCGGUUAGGCCGGGAACUCAAAGGAGACUGCCAGUGAUAAACUGGAGGAAGGUGGGGAUGACGUCAAGUCAUCAUGGCCCUUACGAGUAGGGCUACACACGUGCUACAAUGGCGCAUACAAAGAGAAGCGACCUCGCGAGAGCAAGCGGACCUCAUAAAGUGCGUCGUAGUCCGGAUUGGAGU
rnacentral:rRNA from 1 species